rnacentral:tRNA from 1 species
GCCUGGGUGGCUCAGCCAGUUAAGCGCUUGACUUCAACUCAGGUCACGAUCUCCCGGUUUGUGGGUUCGCGCCCCACGUUGGGCU